rnacentral:lncRNA from 1 species
AAAUGUGGAAUUUAGAACUGCUUGAUGUAUUUCUUGAAUCCCGAAGUGGUCAUUGCCCGGACAAAUCAUUUUUCUGUGACUGUAGUCUAUACCUAACUUUGCGAAUUAGGGAAUAUAAAGCUGGAGAGGCUUUCUAGAAGGUAUAUAGAACAGAAAUCAAAAGAGUUCUGUAUAUAUAUGAGUGCAUUGUGUUUAUAGCCUCCAAUUUUGUCCUGUUGGCACAACAAGACAUGAUUUUAACAUCAAAAUGCAUCCAUAUCAUAUUCAUGUAUUCCACACGAGACAUUUUGCUAAAGCGACUAACAAAAUCUAAUGAAGUGACCAAAUUGAAACAAAAAACAAAAUUUAAGACCACUUUUGGAAAAAAAAAAGUCUGUAAAUACCAUAAAACUUUUGACAAUAAGUUUAGUUACCAACAAAAUUUUUUAUCCUGGAUCUAAAGUUGUAUCUCUCAGCAAAAGGUUUAGGUGUUUUUACUUUCAUUUACCCUAAUACUUCUACACUUACAAGUUUUGAGUCCUAAAUCUUUUUCCAUUUAUCAUCCAACACAUAAAUCUCUCACAAAAUCCAUGAACAGAAGCAAAAAAUGAAAUACCUUGGCAAAAGUGAUAACCCAUGGGCACAGGAUUCACAAUCUUGUCACUAUCAGCUUGAACAUAGAUAUUCAUAUUCAUUCCCUCCAGUGAUUUUGGAUGUUAUCCAAACUCUUGUCUUGCCACGGUAUCUCAUGGAAAAAUAUGACGACUGAUGGUUCAUUGCCCAAUCUUGAAGACAUCAAAUUGCAGAUCUAUACCUGCGAAGACCCAGAACGGGAAGCAACGAAAGGGGAAUUUCGUCUACUAAAACUGUAAGUACAGAUCUACCAAGAAGAAUCUAGAACGGCGAAUCCUUCAAGAUUGGGCAACAAACCAACAAUCGGCAAAUUUGCUCAAUUUCCUCGGAUAUUCGGCUUCCACAAGGGCCUUACUUUUACAGUCAAGUUGAAAAAGGGGUUAGGGGAAGGAGGACAGAGGGAAGUAGUAUGCUUCAGGGGCAGCGAGGUUGGAGGGGUCGGCAGAGGCAGCUGCGGCGUUAGGGUUAG